CGGCUUAAUUUGACUCAACACGGGAAACCUCACCCGGCCCGGACACGGAAAGGAUUGACAGAUUGAUAGCUCUUUCUCGAUUCUGUGGGUGGUGGUGCAUGGCCGUUCUUAGUUGGUGGAGCGAUUUGUCUGGUUAAUUCCGAUAACGAACGAGACUCCGGCAUGCUAACUAGUUACGCGGCCCCGUGCGGUCGGCGUCCAACUUCUUAGAGGGACAAGUGGCGUUCAGCCACACGAGAUUGAGCAAUAACAGGUCUGUGAUGCCC
rnacentral:rRNA from 1 species